rnacentral:rRNA from 1 species
CCUAACACAUGCAAGUCGAGCGGUAGAGAGGUGCUUGCAUCUCUUGAGAGCGGCGGACGGGUGAGUAAUGCCUAGGAAUCUGCCUAGUGGUGGGGGAUAACGUUCGGAAACGGACGCUAAUACCGCAUACGUCCUACGGGAGAAANCGGGGGAUCUUCGGACCUCGCGCCAUUAGAUGAGCCUAGGUCGGAUUAGCUAGUAGGUGAGGUAAUGGCUCACCUAGGCGACGAUCCGUAACUGGUCUGAGAGGAUGAUCAGUCACACUGGAACUGAGACACGGUCCAGACUCCUACGGGAGGCAGCAGUGGGGAAUAUUGGUCAAUGGGCGCAAGCCUGAACCAGCCAUGCCGCGUGCAGGAAGACGGUCCUAUGGAUUGUAAACUGCUUUUAUACAGGAAGAAACACUACUUCGUGAAGUAGCUUGACGGUACUGUAAGAAUAAGGAUCGGCUAACUCCGUG